GACGAACGCUGGCGGCGUGCUUAACACAUGCAAGUCGAACGAAAAGAGGGAAAGAGCUUGCUCUUUCCGGAAUUGAGUGGCAAACGGGUGAGUAACACGUAAACAACCCGCCUUCAGGAUGGGGACAACAGACGGAAACGACUGCUAAUACCGAAUAAGUUCCAAGGGCCGCAUGGCCCAUGGAAGAAAAGGUGGCCUCUACCUGUAAGCUAUCGCCUGAAGAGGGGUUUGCGUCUGAUUAGCUGGUUGGAGGGGUAACGGCCCACCAAGGCGACGAUCAGUAGCCGGUCUGAGAGGAUGAACGGCCACACUGGAACUGAGACACGGUCCAGACUCCUACGGGAGGCAGCAGUGGGGAAUCUUCCGCAAUGGGCGAAAGCCUGACGGAGCAACGCCGCGUGAGUGAUGACGGCCUUCGGGUUGUAAAACUCUGUGAUCCGGGACGAAAAGGCAGGGUGCGAAGAACAAACUGCAUUGACGGUACCGGAAAAGCAAGCCACGGCUAACUACGUGCCAGCAGCCGCGGUAAUACGUAGGUGGCAAGCGUUGUCCGGAAUUAUUGGGCGUAAAGCGCGCGCAGGCGGCUUCCCAAGUCCCUCUUAAAAGUGCGGGGCUUAACCCCGUGAUGGGAAGGAGACUGGGAAGCUGGAGUAUCGGAGAGGAAAGUGGAAUUCCUAGUGUAGCGGUGAAAUGCGUAGAGAUUAGGAAGAACACCGGUGGCGAAGGCGACUUUCUGGACGAAAACUGACGCUGAGGCGCGAAAGCGUGGGGAGCAAACAGG
rnacentral:rRNA from 1 species